rnacentral:rRNA from 1 species
AACGAACGCUGGCGGCAGGCUUAACACAUGCAAGUCGAGCGCCCCGCAAGGGGAGCGGCAGACGGGUGAGUAACGCGUGGGAAUCUACCCAUCUCUACGGAAUAACGCAUGGAAACGUGUGCUAAUACCGUAUACGUCCUUCGGGAGAAAGAUUUAUCGGAGAUGGAUGAGCCCGCGUUGGAUUAGCUAGUUGGUGGGGUAAAGGCCUACCAAGGCGACGAUCCAUAGCUGGUCUGAGAGGAUGAUCAGCCACACUGGGACUACGACACGGCCCAGACUCCUACGGGAGGCAGCAGUGGGGAAUAUUGGACAAUGGGCGCAAGCCUGAUCCAGCCAUGCCGCGUGAGUGAUGAAGGCCCUAGGGUUGUAAAGCUCUUUCACCGGUGAAGAUAAUGACGGUAACCGGAGAAGAAGCCCCGGCUAACUUCGUGCCAGCCGCCGCGGUAACAC